AUUUAUUAUUAACAAUAAUAUAAAAUUAUGCACAAAAAGAAUUACUAAUGUAAAAAAAAAGUGCUUUUAUUUAUAUAUGUGUAACAGAGUUAGAAAAUAGCUUAAUGAAUUUCCUCAAAAUUGAUGUGCUUUGUGAAUAGUUGGAGCCACCUGGUGGACAAAUACCGCAACUGCAACUGUUAAGGUUCUAAAUUGCUGCACAGCGCAUGCCUCAGCAAAGAAAAAUACUCCCGAGCUGGUGAACUGAAUGUUGCAGUUGCUUUGCACAGUAUUAAUGACAACUGUGUGCUGUUUUCUUUGUACCAGUUGCCAGAAUAAAGAGGGAGCCCAGAGUAAGGGCAAGUCCAGCGUUGCAGUGCCGUCCUUCCUACAUGGGCAUAUCACACCACUUGCACGAUAGACUCACAGAACAGCAACAGCUACAUUGGUGCCGUGACUCUGUGAUUUGAGAUCAACUUGAUGCAGAUCUCCAACCCAGGUUGCAUUGUAUUGUGCUUUAAGAUUCAUCCAUUGCUCGUCUUGGACUGUGAAUUACGUUGAGGUACUGGACUGUUUGUUCUUUGGUUUGAUGGGACUCUCUCUGGACUGCUUGUGCUGACACCUGCAACUCUGAAUAUUUGUUAUUGUCUACGUUUUGUUUUUUUCUUGCUUUUCCUUUUCUCUGUUUAUAUGCUAAUAUGGCAAGCAAAUUCCAGCUGAGUGAUAUAUGUGACAAUGUUCGCUCCUCUGUUGGGCGGGGUAGAGGUGCAGCACGUGCUCAUUUACUGUCACAUGGGUCAGUUGGGAGGGAUGAGGGAGCUUCACCUGUGUUGCCUGGGAGGGUUGGAGCCUUUGGGUCGGGUGUAGAUCCAAAUGAGUCUCCCGUGGUGCAAUUUUUGCGGGGCGAAGCACGUCACUCCACUCCCAGUGAUGGGAAUGACACAUUAAACCAGUUUAGUGACGUGAUCUUUCAGCUUGGUUUACAGAUAGGUGAAUCUAUUGUGGCCAGACUUAUGUCUAGUAGAGCUGUUGGUGAUGUUGACCGAAAUGAUGCUCACUCACAUGACCAGACUUCCCAUUCGGGUGGCGAUACGAAUAUGCCAAGUGAGAACACUCAAUUCAGCGUUAUUGUAAAAUCCGACAGGGAGCCUGUCAUUUUCAGGGGUGAUGGUACAGACAAGUACACAGUGACUGA